GACGAACGCUGGCGGCGUGCCUAAUACAUGCAAGUAGAACGCACAGUUUAUACCGUAGCUUGCUACACCAUAGACGGUGAGUUGCGAACGGGGGAGUAACGCGUAGGUAACCUGCCUGGUAGCGGGGGAUAACUAUUGGAAACGAUAGCUAAUACCGCAUAAUAUUGAUUAUUGCAUGAUAAUUGAUUGAAAGAUGCUAUUGCAUCACUACCAGAUGGACCUGCGUUGUAUUAGCUAGUAGGUGAGGUAACGGCGCACCUAGGCGACGAUACAUAGCCGAACUGAGAGGGUGAGUGGCCACACUGGGACUGAGACACGGCCCAGAGUCCUACGGGAGGCGGCAGUAGGGAAACUUCGGCAAUGGGCGAAAGUCUGACCGAGCAACGCCGCGUGAGUGAAGAAGGUUUUCGGGUCGUAAAGCUCUGUUGUAAGGGAAGAACGGGUGUGCGAGUGGAAAGUUCAGACUGUGACGGUAUCUUACAAGAAAGGGACGGCUAACUACGUG
rnacentral:rRNA from 1 species